CUACCCACUUAGGCUUUCAAAAGGGCACCUGGGUUGGGGCCUAAAUGAAAAAGGUCCCUGAAGGAAGUCAGAUGAAAGCUGCUUGGAAGGCCCCUGAAAGAAGUUAAGUGAGAACUGGAGAUUCCUAUUCAUCCCCAGAAACCAUAAAACGAGCUUUCCCCUGGAGCCGUGUAAAAGAAACUUCGAAGACUCUGUGGGCUACAUUGUACCCCCCGCCCCAGGACAAGGCGCUCUCUCGUCUAGCCCAUGAACAAGGCCCUGGAGACUGGAAAUAAACAGGGAGAAGAAAUGUCCUGCUCCAAGUCCUGUGCUGCCUUGCUGAGAGCUGGAAGGAGCCCGGAAAAGAAUAAUGAAAUGCUAAUCACCUGGGCGCGUUGCUCAUCACACCUGCGUGGUAGCCUUUAAUAGGGAGAAAACUUAUCCUUUGUGGGGAUAGGAGCUCACGAGCCUUUUAAAAGUGCAUGUGGGACAGAGAUUUGGUGGGACAAUGGAGUCGGUGGGGCUUGGCUUGAAAAGAGAAAAGCAAUAUUCCCACUCUCUUUGCAUUCCUAGAGUUUGGUUAUUAAAAGGGAUGGUUAAGAAGCUAGUCUGACGCGCUGCCCCACACGCUCAGUGGCCUGAGAGAGUGGGUCUUGUUUUGUUCCUCCAGGCCAAUGGCAGAUUUGGGGGGACCCAGCCUGAGAUUGCUGGCCACAUCAAAGCAGUGAUUAUGCAAAUACCCACUUUUUAAAAAAAGAAUUAUUUAUCCCACAAUAACCCCCUGCCAGGGUGGGAAACAAUAGAUCUGGCCGGAUAGCAAUUCUAGCCCAAGGCUGCCGGGGAGGGGUGGGGGGAGAGAACCCCGCAAGUUUUAUUGGGCUAACCUAAUUUCACUAAUUCUCUUUUCACACGUUUUUCUUUGGGGACUGCGUUUUAAGGGCCGGGUUUCACGCUCCCAGGAUCUCGUGGCACCGGGCGAAUUCAUGGGCUGCGCAUUUUAUUUAAUUAAUACAUCCAUCCGCGCCGGUUCCUUGGUGGGGAUUGGCGCCUUUGUAAAGAGUUCCAGGUGUUUGUCCCCAGAAGUCACCCAGUGCUCUAGGGUGGAUGAUGACGAUGGGACCGAUUGAUUUUCAUUAGUGACAGUGCUAUAAAUCUGGAGGUAACGCCACCGAGGUCAGGGGAGUUAGCAGGACGUUUAAGGAGGAGGAGGAGGACUCUUGGCUGGAAGUGUGGGUAAUUACCCAGCCUGUAUCAGAUCCCCCCCUCUCUCUU